UUCAUUGUUAUUGAAAAUAUUUUAAUUUGUGAAUUUAAAAAAAAAAAUCUAGUAUUUGAGAAUGUCUGGAUAGGGUUUCUUAGUUAAAUUAAAAAUUAAAAACCAAACUGUAUAGUUUUAGAUGAGAUUCUAUAAUGAUUUAACAAAUCUAAAAACUCAGUAAAACUAAAAUUGCUUCAAUUUCCAGAUUGAGUACACCUCCCUAAACACUACAAGAAAAUCUGUACGUAGCCACAAAUUAGCUACAAAACAAAUUGUGGCUGAAGAUUUAAAGCACGAAUAGCCACAAAAUAACAACAAACUAAAAUCAGUAGCUAUUACGUAGAUUUUUGUGGCUAAAUAGCCACAGAUUACACUUUGUAGCUAAUUGAAUUUAAAAAACCGUGAUUAGCCACAAUUUGUUUUGUAGAAAUCGAUAUCUACUAUUAGCUACGAUAACAAUUGUGAAAAAUAAGAAGACACAACAUGAUUUGUGGCUAUUUGUAGAAAUUGAAACCCUAAACAUACUUUAAACCCUAAAAUUUUAAUUUUUGGUGAUAAAUUAAAGAUAAACAGCAAGUAAUAAGGAAAAAAAAACUAAACAUUAAUAAUAAAUUUUACAAAAUUUCAAAUAUAACUAUUUUAUAUUCAAACUUUGAACCGUAAACUUAACUUAUAAGUAAUCUUUAUCUAUAAUCCAAUACUUCAAAAUUCUUAAAAGGAUAUAUAAUAAUUUUAUAUCAUAAGUCAAGUUUUAUAACUUAAUAUAAAAUCAUUUGUGAGUACUUUUGACUCUUAAUUAAAUUUUACACAUUAAAAAUCGAAUUACAAAAAAAAUUAGAAAAAUUGAAUUAAAAACAUAAAAUGGCUUUACAAAUAAUACUUAAGAUGUUUUACAAUUAAAAUAAAACUAAAUACAAUAUCUAUAUAAUCUUUUAAAUGCAUAUAAAAGAAAUUAGGAGCGUCAAAAAAGAUAAAAGAAUACUAGUUUCUAUUGGUCACUCACCUGUAUGACAUGAGCAAUGUAUGUAUUUAGAGUAUAUGUUUAUUUGAGUACAACACUUAUAAUUUGUGUUUUCAGCAGAGAUAUCCCUCUUACUUAUACUUCGAUAAGUGUAGAAUUAAAAUGACAGUAUUAUAUCUUAUUCACUUUUCAUAGAUUAAUUUGUUGAGGUUUAGAGUAAGCAAUGUUUAGCUAGAGUAUUAUAUCUUAACCUUUAUAGUAAUAAUUUAAUUUAGUAUUGAUUAAAAUGAUAAUAUAUCAAAUUCAAUAUAGCUACAAAUAACUGCAUAUUAUGUUGUGGCUAUAUAAUAAUUCAGAAAUUUAACACAAAAAUUUCCAUUCCCGCUUUGCCUUUUUCUCAUUUUCCCGGCUAAAGCAUUUCCGGGGCAAACAAAUUAUUUUCUGUUUGAAACGAAACCACAAAAUUUAUUUAAGUAUAGAAAUACAAAAAAUCUUUUUUACUUAUCUUCAAUUCUCCCUUUGUUUCUUCAGCCUCCUCUGUAUCUUUUCUCAAUCUUCUCUCUUCAACCUUCUAAUAUAGCUGUUGCUUCCUAAUUCGUGUUUAAGAUGAAUCUCCUAGGCGUCAAUCUUAAAAUCGCUUCUUUCAUGCCUCAGUUCCAUAGCUCACGAUCCGAUUGUAAUUUAUGCGCUUCUUGGGUUAGGUUCUGUCUCUGUGAGUUUUGUUUCUAUCUCACAUUUAGAUUAGUGAAAUUGAGGUUUAAAUGAAAAUCUUGUUUGGUUCUUAGCGCAACAAGAGAACCUGAAACCCUUGCUUUUAUUUCAUUCUGAAUGGUGCUUGAUUUGUGAUUUGACGAGUGAUUAGAUAAAAAGAUGAAUCCUUUACUCACUUUGUGUUUCCAUUGUCAUAGGUUUCUGCAAACGACGAAGUUUUGUGUACUGCUUGAUAUCAAGGAGAAAACUUUGAAGAAGCUGUCUAAGCAGACAUGAUAUACGAAUCCAAGUAGCAGGGGUCACUUGUACAGUUCUCUGGCUCUAAGGAAAUUCAAAUGAUGCUGGAGAUUGCGGUGGCAUCCCUGUGUUUAAUACUUAUAAUGUCACUGCAUUUGAGAAGAUGGCCAAGGAGUUUGUGGAGAUGUUCAAACACGAAGUAAUGCUAUAGGGCGAUCUUAGGAGGAGCCAUACUUAUUCCUGAAGACGCAAUGCAAGUAGCAAAGAAGAGACAUAAUUGAUUGAUAUCAGUGACGAGGAAGAAACAAGUCUCGAAGGAGAUUUAAGUUUGGGUAUAAGGAUGAGUGGUACGUAGGCAAAUCGAACCUCCGGUCAAGUUUGAUAUAGCCAAGAGACCAGGAGCAAAGAGAUACCGUGCACCAGUUUAGAUUUAGGUUUUUAUUAGGUUUUCAAAACCAGUUUAUUAUUUAUGAACCAGUUUUAAUUUGUAAACCAUAUUGAAAAUAUUAUUGGAAAUAAAAGAAAAUAAAAUAAUUGAUUUGGUUUUAGUAUUUAUUGUAAUUGUUAUUAAUUAAUUAAUUAAUUUGAUUAUAGAAAAAAUGCAUUUUAAUUAAAUUUUAUAAUAAUGGCAACAAUUUAGUUUGUGGCUGAUUGUAGAAAAUUUUCUACGGUUUAGAAUAUGGUUUUUUGUAGCGAAAAGAGCAACAAACUUGAGUUAGCGCUAUUUGUAGCUAGUGGCUACAAAAAUCGUUUGUGGCUAAGUCGUAGAAGUAGAGCAACAAAUAGCAACACUUAUUCGAUUGCCACAAGCUCAUAGUCAACGAAUUUUUGUUGUGGCGAUUUGUGGCUAAGUGUUAAAUAGCCACGAAAAUUAGUCGAUAGCCACCAUAUUUUUCGUGGCUAAAUACAUAAUUUCUUGUAGUGAAAUUUCCGUACUCACCGUCAAAUCACAUGAUUAAUUUUAUAAAUUUUUAUAUUUAGCCAUUUAAAAAUAGUGUUGUUUACAAAUUACAAUGCACAUAUUUUAUUUUUGGGUGUAUACUUACUUAAAUUUGAUUUUAUAAUCUGUAAAAAUAAUUGGUGUACUAACUACAUUAUUUCUAACCAACGAUAUAGUUAUGCUUUGUAAUAUUUCAUCUUCGUUUAUUAAUUAAAAUUAAAUUAAUAUUAUUUUACAAUGUUAAUAACAAUUACGAAUUUAACUAAUCAUAAAAAAGAUUGGAAAGAUUAUAUAAGAUUUUAUUAUUAGAAGAUAUUAUUAGUAAGUUGAUUAGAAAAAAUCAACAUUAUUGCUAUUAAUAAAAAAGGUAAAAUUAAAAUAUUUUUAAUUCACAUAUCAUCAUACUUUAGAAAAUGUUUAUUUAUUUACUGUUUGUAUUUUAAUAGAAUAGACUAUGAUAUGAUCCAUGUCAAAUGUGAAUUACGUUUCUAGGUUAAGUUUCUUUUUAUAUAUAAAACAAAAAAAAUCGACAUGUUAACAUAUAAAAAUAUUUUGUGUCAUUUGGGUCAAAAUGUGAUAAUUAUGGGUCUCGUGAACAUAUGUCAUCACCGUAUUCACAUCACCACACUGAAAUUAAUAUACAAUUAUAUAAAAAACAUGUUAUCACCAUAUUCAUUCUCAACAAGAAAAAUAUGAUAUGAUCUUUUAAAAACAUGACAUAGCAUCAACUUAACAGUGAUACGGUUUUAUAAAGAUUUAGAUUUUAGAUUUUUUUUUUAAUAUGGUAAUAACUAGUAAAUUAUAUAUCACUAUUAAAGUAAAUUUACAUAUAAAUAUUUAAUUUUGACAAGAUUUUUGAAAUAUAGGAAUAAUUUAUAAUUUAUAUAUCACCAUUAGAUAAAAUAUAUAUAGCACAUUAAUGACAAACUAAGCUAAAUAUAAUUACAAAUAUAAUUUUAAAUCUAUGGAAGUUUAACAAAAUCAAAUUGAAAUAGUUAAACAAAGCACAAGAAACAAGACUACAUAAUAUUUUGCUGGAUGAAGUUAAAAUAUAAAAAUAAUAAUGUCUAAAUACAAACUAAAUUUUCCUUUUAAAAUAAAUGAUAUUAUAUUUAAAAUUAUUAUUCUGCGGAUGGCUUAAGAAAACUCUUAAUAUCUAAUAAAUUAUUAUAUAUGAUGGUAUAUUUUCCAUAUUUGUUAAGGCGUCUGCCUAAAAUGAUAGAAAAACAUUGAGAGUAUUAUGACGGGAUGAGGCAGCUCACUUGGUAAGGACUUUGUGGGCCAAUUGUCAUGCUCACGGGUUCGACGCCACCCGGAGGCGAACUGUCCAUUCUGUCACCAAAUGCGGUACUGGGUGUUGGGCCUUGUCCCCAGCCCAGGUAAAGCCCUCCCGGAUGAAGUGGACCGCUGCCUAAACGGACCCAGGGGAAUGAUCCACGUAAGUGGAGAACCCCUGGAUUAUCAAAAAAAAAAAAUAUUGAGAGUAUUAUUCAUAUACGUGUACCUAAUUUAUACCUAGUUAAGAAUCUAAAAGUUAAAGUUAUAUAAUAAAAAUAGGAUUACACGUAUAAAAGUUAUCUAAUAAAAAAAUUCACAUCAUAAUAUAAUAGUUGAGAAGAUAGCAUAUUUCCCUAUGAACUAGUUGUUCCCGGUUUUUUCACACACAAACUUUGAAGUCAUGCCAGAAACCACAUGAAGAACAUGAAAAUAGCUUAUUCUCCUAUAAACUAGUUGUUCCUGGCUUUUCACACACAAAUUUUUAAGUCAUGCCAAAAACCACAUGAACAACUCUAUUUUAUGAAUUACAUACACAAACUAUUGAUUUUAAACUAAUUCCCCUAAAACCGUAAACGUGAUAUUUAAACGUUAACUUGGUUUAUGACAGAUAGAGAGAGUUUAAUUUGAGUUGAUAAAAAAAUACUACGUCGUUUUAUUUUUAUUUUUUUUAUUUUUUUGUCAAUUGUUCAUUUUCUUCAUAGAUCUUUUUAUUUUUCAUCAUCAAUUGGAGAUACUGCACUGAUUUUAUAGUUCUUAGUGGCAAUACAUGGAGAUUGGUAAGCUAGUAUUUGAUGCUCUUCUUUCUUUAUGCGUCAUGUAAAACGUUUUAUUCUUCUACAGAAUAAUAAAUUUUAUCUUCAAUUGAAGAUGAAAAAUAAAACGAUUUCCGAAGAAGAAUAGCAGUUGACUAAAAAGAAGAAAAAGAAUAAAAUGGCACAGUAUUUUUUAUCAAUGUCAAUUAGAGGAAUUAUGUAUGGUAUGUAUAGCGACUACAACAAAUCAUGUUAUCUCCUGGUGCAGGAGUAUAUGGAAUGGGCAGCGACGUGACAAAUAGAUCGCACCCACUGAUCUAUUAAGUGACAUAAGGCGAUGGAUCACAAUAGAUGACAGCCGAACACAAGAUCAUUUAAGACCGAGAACAAAAAUAGAUAAAGUUAGUGAAUUAGUCUAUUCUGCAAAAGAGUUAGGAAGCAUCGUGUUAUUACUUUUCUAUUAUCAUGUUCAAUUUAAAAAUGUAUUUGUUGUAUGUUUCUAUUCUUGUAUUAUGUUAAACCUCUUUUGAUAUUAAUAAAGAUAAAAUGUUAUAAAACAAAAUUCAACAGACUCUCCACCUGUCAUAAAUCAAGUUAUUUUUUAAAUAACAUUGUUUAAGGUUUUAGGGGAAUUAGUUUGUUCAUGUGGUUUUUGGCAUGGCUUAAAAGUUUGUGUGUGAAAAAAUCAGGAACAACUAGUUCAUAGGAGAAUAAACCAUUUUCCCAUUGUUCAUGUAAUUUUUGGCAUGGCUUAAAAAUUCGUGUAUGAAAAAACCGGGAACAAUUAGUUCAUAGGGGAACAUGUCAUUUUCCCUAUAAUAGUUAGUGUUAAACAUGAAAAGUUCUCUAAUGAUUUUCAAAAUUUGCAUAUCAAACUGUCGGUAGAAAGCAUUUUACCUUCGAGGUAGGUCUUUAACAAUUGGCAAGUCACAUAUACAACGAUUCCGACUCGUUUUGGACCUUUACCAAUUACCCCCUGCUGCUGAAAUUAGUUAAAAGUUAAAACGAAAUGCUUUCAUGAUAGUAAGAAGUAAACGACGUCGUUUAGCCUGAGAUCCUCCGAUCGACAAGAUUUUCAAAAUUGAGCAUUCGUCACCGCUGCACUGUCGCGGAGGUUGGGAAACUGCAUUAGGUUCCUGGUGAUAUUCUCUUUAGUAUCAACUCGAGGUUUCGUUCUAUCUUCUUUUUUGAAUUAUACACAGUUUCCCCCAAAGACUUACCAGACCCAAUGGACUAAUCUGUGUUGCUGCGACCCCAAUGUUAAAUUUCGCCGUGGCCGGGAAUCGAACCCAAGUGGCGGUACUCACAGCUGUGAGCCUUUUACCACCAGAGCUAGAUGCCCCGGUUUUUCGUUCUAUCUUCUCUCUAGCUCUGAUUGAGAAUCUAUCAUCUGUGUUCCUCCGUUUGAUUUUUGGUUCAUUUUAGAGUGUGAAUACGGGACCUUUUUCUCCCAAAUUGAUGAUGAAGAUUGUGGAAGUGAUGAUCCUAAGUUCAAACUUCAAAAAGAAGAUGGAGAAGCAGUUUGUGGGCAGUUUCAGAAGAGCAUAGUCGUCACAUGAAUUUUACAUUGGCCGAAGCUAAAAGGGUUGCUUCACAGUACCAAAAAGGAGGCUGAGAAGUGUAACGCUGCAACAGUAAUUUGCGAGUCAGCUAGGGAGAGAGAGAGAGCUCAAGAAUUGUUUCUCAAAGAGAAGAAGGUCACUUCUUUGUGGGAGCGGAGGGCUUGGCAAUUAGGUUGGAAAGGUGAGUAAGCAUUUCACUGUUUUGUGACUUCUUCUCAGUGUCCCCUGAAGGGUUUCUCGUUGGAAGCAAACUAGAUUUUCUCUUCCGCAUAUAGCUCAUGAGAACAUGAGGAUCGCUUAAUUCACAAGGCAAAGUUUUAUAUGUAGCUCUUUUUUGUUAUGCUCUCGAAUCCAAGUAUAGAUAAUGAAAGUGACUUAUUUUGACUUUU